rnacentral:rRNA from 1 species
GGGUCAGUAGGUUGGUCGUGCCACCGGUACGUACUGGUCUCACCGAUUCCUCCUUCCUGAAGAACCGUAAUGCCAUUAAUUUGGUGUUGCGGCGAAACAGGAAUGUUACUUUGAAAAAAUUAGAGUGUUUAAAGCAAGCUAACGCUUGAAUACAUUAGCAUGGAAUAAUGAAAUAGGACGAUCGAUCCUAUUUUGUUGGUUUCUAGGAUUGACGUAAUGAUUAAUAGGAUAGUUGGU